UCUGUGCUCUGUGUACACGGCCUCGCUCACAACUGCGCCCAGUCAGAGGCGAGCAGCCUCAUCCCCGCCCCUCCUUCCCACAGACCCCCGAGGGCAGCCUGGGACGGUUCCAAAUUUCGUUUGGUGUAGGGGGAGCCUGGCGCGCACAGGCACCUUGGGGGUGUGAUCAGGAGGCUGUGGGCUCUCUCCAGCCUCCCUGCUUCCUCUCAGAAAACCCAGGAAGCAGAGGCUCCCAGCAAGUCUGUAUUUAGCCAAGUUCAAGUCCAAGUCAGCGUGAGUUUCCGACCUCAACCAGACAGAGGGGAGAGGAGCUGCAGCAGAAGCAGGUUCGGAAGACGCUCCUGCCCAGGACAGGUCUGGCGCUACACCUGAGGGGCAGCACAGGGCCUCGCCCCCUAACAGGAUGCUUUCUGAACAGGCAGGAGGAAGUGAGUCGCACCCAUGCGGGAAUCUCAGCUGACGGAUCAGGAGAGACUUAACCAGAAGGCACACGUGACAGAAGGAAGAGUCCCCGGGCCCAAGGAUGUUCACAGCCCCUCAGUAACAUCGGCGUGUCCAGCGGGGCAGAGCGAGGCAGCGCGCCCGCAGGGGCCUGGUGGGCUGACACACACACACCUUCAGACGUCAGUGACGACUUGGUGAAAUGUAUCCACCGUGUUUUCUUCCUUAAAAAGUUAUUUUAAAGAGAA